GAUGAACGCUGGCGGCGUGCCUAAUACAUGCAAGUCGAGCGAACAGACGAGGAGCUUGCUCCUCUGACGUUAGCGGCGGACGGGUGAGUAACACGUGGAUAACCUACCUAUAAGACUGGGAUAACUUCGGGAAACCGGAGCUAAUACCGGAUAAUAUAUUGAACCGCAUGGUUCAAUAGUGAAAGACGGUUUUGCUGUCACUUAUAGAUGGAUCCGCGCCGCAUUAGCUAGUUGGUAAGGUAACGGCUUACCAAGGCAACGAUGCGUAGCCGACCUGAGAGGGUGAUCGGCCACACUGGAACUGAGGCACGGUCGAGACUCCUACGGGAGGCAGCAGUAGGGAAUCUUCCGCAAUGGGCGAGAGCCUGACGGAGCAAAGCCGCGUGAGUGAUGAAGGUCUUCGGAUCGUAAAACUCUGUUAUUAGGGAAGAACAAAUGUGUAAGUAACUAUGCACGUCUUGACGGUACCUAAUCAGAAAGCCACGGCUAACUACGUG
rnacentral:rRNA from 1 species